UUUUUUUUCUCCCAACAUAUUCUGAUGGUGCGAUCUGCCUGGUGGAGCCCCCUCACGCCACAACAGACCUUGUAACUGAUGAAGAGUAGAGGAGACUUUGUCUGCUGCCUUCACAGAGGGGGAACCAGAAAGGCCUGUAGAGGGCAUGGCUGGGCAGCAGCAGGAGGGUCCCUCAACUUCAACUGCACAGAUUGACACAGUGAGAUGGAUGUUCAGUAAACACCAGAGGUUCAUUCUGUGGAAUUCAUGUGCAACUGUAUAAUUUAAUGUCCUCCUUAUGUAUUCCCAGUUACCAGUGAAAGACGUCUAUAAAAUAUUUCUGCUGAAAAAAAUUGAAAAAACCGACAAAGAAAUGCAGUUCUUGGACCGCCAGAUGAGAAGGGCAGAUCUCGAAAUUGAAUUACUAGAGCACAAGUUAGAGGAAAUAAAGAAGACCAAAU